rnacentral:rRNA from 1 species
UAGUCCACGCCGUAAACGAUGGGCACUAAGUGUCGGCAGGUUACUGUCGGUGCCGCAGCUAACGCAGUAAGUGCCCCGCCUGGGGAGUACGGCCACAAGGUUGAAACUCAAAGGAAUUGACGGGGGCCCGCACAAGCGGUGGAGCAUGUGGUUUAAUUCGACGCAACGCGAAGAACCUUACCCAGGUUAGACACGCUUGUAGUAAAAAGCUGAAAGGCUGAUGAGCCCGAAAGGGCAGCUUGCGCAGGUGCUGCAUGGCUGUCGUCAGCUCGUGCCGUGAGGUGUUGGGUUAAGUCCCGCAACGAGCGUAACCCCUGUCUUCAGUUGCUACCGGGUGAUGCCGGGCACUCUGAAGAAACUGCCCAGGAUAACGGGGAGGAAGGUGGGGAUGACGUCAAGUCAGCAUGGCCUUUAUGCCUGGGGCUACGACACGUGCUACAAUGACCGGUACAAAGGGCUGCGAUCCUGCAAAGGUGAGCUAAUCCAAAAACCGGCCUCAGUUCAGAUUGGGGU